ACACUCCUGCGGGAGGCAGCAGUGGGGAAUAUUGCACAAUGGGCGCAAGCCUGAUGCAGCCAUGCCGCGUGUAUGAAGAAGGCCUUCGGGUUGUAAAGUACUUUCAGCGGGGAGGAAGGCGAUAAGGUUAAUAACCUUGUCGAUUGACGUUACCCGCAGAAGAAGCACCGGCUAACUCCGUGCCAGCAGCCGCGGUAAUACGGAGGGUGCAAGCGUUAAUCGGAAUUACUGGGCGUAAAGCGCACGCAGGCGGUCUGUCAAGUCGGAUGUGAAAUCCCCGGGCUCAACCUGGGAACUGCAUUCGAAACUGGCAGGCUAGAGUCUUGUAGAGGGGGGUAGAAUUCCAGGUGUAGCGGUGAAAUGCGUAGAGAUCUGGAGGAAUACCGGUGGCGAAGGCGGCCCCCUGGACAAAGACUGACGCUCAGGUGCGAAAGCGUGGGGAGCAAACAGGAUUAGAAACCCUAGUAGUCCCA
rnacentral:rRNA from 1 species